UACGUAGGGUCCGAGCGUUGUCCGGAAUUACUGGGCGUAAAGAGCUCGUAGGUGGUUUGUCGCGUUGUUCGUGAAAACUCACAGCUCAACUGUGGGCGUGCGGGCGAUACGGGCAGACUGGAGUACUGCAGGGGAGACUGGAAUUCCUGGUGUAGCGGUGUAAUGCGCAGAUAUCAGGAGGAACACCGGUGGCGAAGGCGGGUCUCUGGGCAGUAACUGACGCUGAGGAGCGAAAGCGUGGGGAGCGAACAGG
rnacentral:rRNA from 1 species